rnacentral:tRNA from 1 species
GCGUCUGCCUCCGGAGCAGAAGGC